rnacentral:lncRNA from 1 species
GUGCUCUUGCAGUGGCCAGAAUUGUGAGCGGCAUACUUCUGCAGAAGUAAAUUUGCCUUCUUGAGAAAUCCUUUGUUUGAGUGCUCAUUUUCCUUGUGACUCCGAGCUCUUGUUUCUAACAGUUUCCUUGGUGUCUUCUUUCUGUUCAAGUUCCUUAUGCUCUCCUUAGGUGAAAAGAGCCUUAACCCCCAAAAUGCAGAAAACUUCCGGGACCAUCUUGGAAGACACCACUUGACACUAGAAAUUGUGGUGAAUUAACAAGGGGGAGGCCAUGCUGUAUGGAUCACAGUUUCAGCCAACAUUUGCCCCAAAAUUAGUGAUUUCAAUGGUCUCAUUUUAUCCUGGUGAUAACCUCUAUGGUAAGAGGUGGUUUGUGUUAUUGUUCUUGUAACCAAGUACCCCCAUUUUUUCUAAGAGAUAGUUUAAUUAUUCUUUCCUCUUUCUUUUUCUCUUUUCUCCUUUUCCACACUUCCUACUUCCUACUUAGCCCUUUAGAAAUGCAUAUAUAGCCUUUUUUACCUCCUUUUAUUAGACACUCCCUACAGGGCAAGUUCAUCUAACUAUGUGCUUGGGAGCUUCAGAAGGGAACUCACCCACCAAGAAGUUGCCUCAAGAGAUAACAGUAGAUUUACAACUCAAAGUAUGCAUGCCCACGAAGACACCAGCCAUCACUAGCUUGACUGCAUCUACCAAGCUAACACAUGGGCCCCAAAACUGCUCACUUCCCCCACUCCUGCCUCCUUGGACUCCCCGAUAGCCCGCCUACCACAUGCCGUUCAUGUUAGGCCUCCCUUACAAGUGUUCACUUUCUUCUCCAAAAGCUAAAUGGUACCCUUAGGCAGGAAGCUUAUACUUAUUCCCUUAAGCCAGC